rnacentral:tRNA from 1 species
CAGGAAAUAGUUUAUAAAAUAUUAAUUUUGGAGAUUAAAGAGAAAGAUUAUUCUUUUUUCCUGA